rnacentral:tRNA from 1 species
GGCCAGGUAGCUCAGUCGGUAGAGCAGUGGACUGAAAAUCCUCGUGUCGGUGGUUCGAUUCCGCCCCUGGCCACCC